CCCACAGCCUUUUUUCCCCCUACUGUUCUGCACAUCUAUUAAGAAUUUUGCUCAGCCUGGCUCCACCUGCUCUGAGUCUUCUGUUCAGGGACUGAACUGAGACUGACCACCCUUUAAGUGACCUGGAUCCUUACGCCUGCAAUUCCUGAAGCUGGAUGAAGACCUGCUGAAAUGUUCUUGCCCUGGGGCUCCUGUGGUUAACAAUUAUUGUAUUCUUUAUACCUGGAACAGUUGUUACCCUGCAGGUCUCCAGUGGAGCUGCUGAUUUUAACCAGAGAUUGAAUAUUUUGAUAGCUGUUAAAUCCUUUCUGUCUUCAGCAUCUGCAGAGCUUUGGAGAGGUACCAGCUAGUCCUAGUGAGUUGUUGUUUGCCAGUCUGUGCCAGCCUCGUUUGCUGUACUUUUCAUCUUCAGUCUCUGUUUGAGGCCCAUCUUCAUUACUUGAAAUUACUGGUCCUGGAAGGGUGAAUGAAUA